rnacentral:rRNA from 1 species
GUAUGGGGAUCUGCCCGAUAGAGGGGGAUAACUACUGGAAACGGUGGCUAUACCGCAUAAUGUCUACGGACCAAAGCAGGGGCUCUUCGGACCUUGCACUAAUCGGAUGAACCCAUAUGGGAUUAGCUAGUAGGUGGGGUAAAGGCUCACCUAGGCGACGAUCUCUAGCUGGUCUGAGAGGAUGAUCAGCCACACUGGGACUGAGACACGGCCCAG